rnacentral:rRNA from 1 species
GGAUUGCCCCAGUAACGGCGAGUGAAGCGGCAACAGCUCAAAUUUGAAAUCUGGUCCCCCCGCGGGGCCCGAGUUGUAAUUUGAAGAGGAUGCUUCUGGCAAGGUGCCGUCCGAGUUCCCUGGAACGGGACGCCGCAGAGGGUGAGAGCCCCGUACGGUCGGAUGCCGAGCCUCUGUGAAGCUCCUUCGACGAGUCGAGUAGUUUGGGAAUGCUGCUCAAAAUGGGAGGUAAACCCCUUCUAAAGCUAAAUACCGGCCAGAGACCGAUAGCGCACAAGUAGAGUGAUCGAAAGAUGAAAAGCACUUUGAAAAGAGAGUUAAAAAGCACGUGAAAUUGUUGAAAGGGAAGCGCUUGCGACCAGACUCGCGCCCGUCGGAUCAGCCGUCGCUCGUCGGCGGCGCACUCCGGCGGGCUCGGGCCAGCAUCAGUUCGCCUCGGGGGGAGAAAGGCGGCAGGAAUGUGGCUCUACGGAGUGUUAUAGCCUGCCGUACAAUACCCCCGGGCGGACUGAGGACCGCGCGUAUGCAAGGAUGCUGGCGUAAUGGUCGUCAGCGACCCGUCUUGAAACACGGACCAAGGAGUCGUCCUAAUAUGCGAGUGUACGGGUGUCAAACCCCUGCGCGUAAUGAAAGUGAACGGAGGUGAGAGCUUCGGCGCAUCAUCGACCGAUCCUGAUGUUCUCGGAUGGAUUUGAGUAAGAGCAUAUUGGGCCGGACCCGAAAGAAGGUGAACUAUGCCUGUGUAGGGUAAAGCCAGAGGAAACUCUGGUGGAGGCUCGCAGCGGUUCUGACGUGCAAAUCGAUCGUCAAACAUGGGCAUGGGGGCGAAAGACUAAUCGAACCUUCUAGUA